rnacentral:snoRNA from 1 species
AAGACUAUACUUUCAGGAAUCAUUUCUAUAGUUUGUUACAGAAUUAUUCUGCUAGAUGUAUUUAAUUCAU